UUCCCCCCAAAUCCUCAAUUAAUGAUUUUUUUUUCUCCCUGCUUGAGCCUUCUCAUCUCUUAAACGAUGUCCUCCUGUUUCAAUCAUUAGUAAUCCGAGCAUGCUUUUAAUUUUUGAUUGCCUCAUUGUUAAAAGGAAGAUGAUUUUUCUCUCGACUCAUGUUCUGCUCUCUUUUUGAUAUCUUCUCUCUUCCUCUCUACUUUCAACGUUUGGUGGUGUCAUUUAAACGAAAGGUCACGCCGCUUCUUUGGGAUAGGAUCAGGGUUUCCUUUUCUCAUCAUUGCCACGAACUCGUCGUAGUUUAUCCGACCAUCCUGCAUCAGAGAUUUUGGUUAUGUUAAUAAUGAGGUUGUUAGAUGCUUUGUUUCGGUUUGAAGGGGGAGUGUUGUUUUCUUACAUUGUCUCCAUCGACCUCUGAAAUUAUCUCUUUAAUGUCUCUGCCAUCGUUCAUCCCAAACUCCCGGAGGGCUUGUUCCAGCUCUUCCAUAGUAAUAUAUCUGGGAUCAACAAGCAUCAUUUGAGGUGUUCAUUUGGAUUCAUAGCAAGCUUUGUACUUCUGUCUUUGGUGUUUGAAGUAUGUUAAGAAUCAUUUAUAUACAGUGCUUACCCGCUGUUGUCUUUGUCAAAGUGUUGGAAGGCUGAGUAGAGAUGUUCUUCUCUGUCAAGUCUGUUGAUAUGCAUUGUGGCUGCGAUAAACUCACCAUAGUCUAUUGUUCCAUUACCAUCAGCAUCAGCCUGUUCCAUCAAGAGUAAAAACAGAAAACUAGUGGUGAGUCUGCUUCCUUGUUGCCAGCAUAUGACAGAGGGUAAAAUUGUUGUUAGUAAGCAAAGGGCUUACAGCUUCCAUUAGUUGCUGGACUUCGUACUCUGACAACCUUGUACCUUGCUUAGCGAGUCCCUGUCUUAGCUCCUCGAGUGUAAUCGUUCCACUGUUGUCAGUGUCCAUACCUUUAAACAUCUCCUUCAACCCCAUGAUCUCUUCCUCUGAUAAGCAGCCUGCUAUCACCCUCAAUGCAACUUUCUUGAAAUUGUUCAUUGCUUUGAAUUGCUUGAGCCUGGACAUCACCGCAUUGUCAAGAGGAACAUCUGGUGCUUCUCCAUCUUCCUUGAUCCAUGGAUGAUCUUAACAAAAGAGAGAGAAAACAUUAAUUAUCAUGGAAAGGGAUUGUUAUACUUUAUUGGUGUGUUUUGUAGAUGCUUACUGAGAACUUGAGCAGCAGUUAGUCUUUGCUUGGGAUCAGAGUUGAGCAUCUUCUUAACAAGAUCCUUCGCCUGAGGUGAGAUGGAUGGCCAUGGAUCACUUGAGAAAUCAACAUGGCUCUUUAAGAUGGCGUUGAAUAUCCCAUUCUCCGAUUCUAUAAUCAUCAGGUAAUAAUCACAACACAUUAAUAUGUUUAAACAAAAUCAUCUCUACAUAUAUUUAUAAUCUCGUUUUCUUUUGUAGACAAAGAAGAACUUUACCAGCCCAGAAGGGAGGGACACCACAUAAGAGGAUAUACAACAUGACACCAAUACUCCAAAUAUCAGCUUCAGGUCCAUACUUCCUCUUCAAAACCUCAGGCGCUAUGUAAUAAGCACUACCCACAAUAUCCUUAAACACCUCUCCGGGCUUGUAGAAAACAGACAACCCAAAGUCAGUGGCCUUGAGAGGAGCCUUCUCGUCUUUGCUGAGCAACAAAAAGUUCUCAGGCUUCAAAUCCCUAUGAAUAACCCCCAUGGAAUGACAAGUAUGCACAAUCUGAACAAUGGUUCUCAACAAGGAAGCAGCAGCUCUCUCCGAGUAAUGUCCCUUAGCAAUAAUCCUGUCGAACAGCUCUCCACCAGCGCAAAGCUCCAUGACCAAAUGCACAGAGUGCUUAUCCUCAUAAGCUCCUUUAAGCUCCACAAUGUUAGGCUGACCAGUCAGGUGAUGCAUUAUCUGCACUUCCCUUCUUACGUCCUCAAUGUCUUCUUUGUUCACAAGCUUCCUUUUGGCAAUGGUCUUGCAAGCGAACUGCUGACCUGUCGCCUUCUGCGUGCAGAGAUGCGUGACGCCGAACUGGCCUCGGCCUAGCUCUUUGCCUAGAGAGUAUGAGGAUUUUACAUCUUCCAUGGGACGGCCUAAGACGGGUCCUAUGGGGCCUUGUUUUGUUGCGGGAGGAGGAGAAGGUUUGACAUAUGGCAGCUUGAGGGAGAAGCCACUUCCCGGGCUAUUCGUUUGGCUCGUUUUGUUAACACGCCUCUCUAUGUUGUUCAUGUGAUGAGUGUUGACGCAAUGGAUGAGAUUGCUAAAGCUCGAAAAGCAGGUUCUCUUUUCCUUUUUUCUUUUUCUCUGCUCCUUGUAUGGAACAACCAUUAGUGUAACAUAUAGGUUGAUUUCUAGAGUCCUUGUCAAAAGAUAAAGAGUUACCUUUUUUCUAUAAAUGUAUUUCAGGGCAGAAGGUUAUUGGAGAGCCUGUGGUGUCCGGAUUAAUCCUCGAUGACCACUGGCUUUGGGAUCCUGACUUCACAAUUGCAUCCAAGUAAGAAAAUUCUCUCAGCUCUGCUGUUCAAAGAGGUUCCCAUGUAUUCUUUCAGGUUUUGAAGUUUUUUUUUCUCUCAAUAUUUGAGGUAUGUUAUGAGUCCACCAAUUAGACCAGUAGGCCAUGGAAAAGCCCUUCAAGAUGCCCUAUCAACAGGAAUCCUUCAGGUUUGUUUCCUUGAUAUGCGUUAAGUAGAGAAACAUGAGCUAUAGGAACUGAUCACUGCACUUUCUUGGCAUUAUCUCUGCAGCUUGUAGGAACUGAUCACUGCACAUUCAAUUCUACACAAAAAGCUCUGGGACUUGAUGAUUUCCGCAAAAUACCUAAUGGUGUUAAUGGUAUAAUCUUGUUCUCUGCGCUCAUUUGUCUCUGCUUCUGUGCUAAUCUAUUCGGAUUUAUAAAAAUACUUUGGACUUGUCCAUGUUUAGGCCUUGAAGAACGGAUGCACCUGACAUGGGACACGAUGGUGGUAAGUACUCACUCAUCAGCUAAAAUCUUCUUUCUUUACAUGUGUUUUUAAUCGGUUUAUUAUAUCAUAAUCCAGGGGUCUGGCCAAAUCUCUGCUACUGAUUUUGUUAGAAUAACCAGCACAGAGUGGUACGUUUGCCAUUAAUCACUGGUUUUCUUGAUAUCGAUGAUAUGCUUUUUGAUUUCAUUUUAUUGACUAAUGAGUUUGAUUAUCAGCGCUAAAAUUUUCAACAUAUAUCCACGGAAAGGAGCUAUCCUUCCUGGCUCGGAUGCAGACAUCAUUAUACUGAAUCCAAACUCAAGCUACGAGAUUACCUCAAAGUCUCAUCAUUCAAGAUCCGACACUAAUGUCUAUGAAGGCAGAAGAGGACAGGUAAUAUAUGGAUUUUGCAAAGCCUCCUCUUGACUGAUAUGUACAAAACAAAAGUUUCUGAUGAUGACAACAUUUUUGUUCUCAGGGAAAAGUUGAAGUGACAAUAGCGGGAGGACGAAUCGUAUGGGAAAACGAUGAGCUUAAAGUUGUUCCAGGAAGUGGAAAGUAUGUAGAGAUGCCUCCUUUCAGCUACCUUUUCGAUGGGAUUGAGAAAUCUGAUGCUAACUAUCUCUCUUCUCUCCGAGCUCCGGUGAAACGUGUCAGGUCUGAAGCUACUACUUAAGUUGCAAGUAUCACCAUCUGCAAAUUCCUCAUUUGAUUCUAUAUAAGAAUAGUUGUACAUAACAUUACUUUUUUCAACAAGAUCUGAAGAGCGAUUAUGUAUAAAAUCUGUUCUCUACUCCAGUUUUUUGUUUCUUAGUUUGUUUGAGCCUUGGUCUCUGUUCUCUAUCUCAAGAACAGAUACCAAGAUCAAAAGAAAGAUUAUGAAUAAAAGCUGUUCUAUACUCUAGAAUUGAUAAUAUUGUGUUGUAGCAUGUACUCUUCACUCUCCAACACAACGCUCAAAAGCAUCCAAAUCACAAACUUCAUUUCUAAUGGGCCUUUUAAUUGGGCUUAUAACUAUUAGACUAAUUAGUUUCAACACCGUCAAUAACUGGAUCUAAAAGACGGGUUUACCCUUUACUUUAUCCGUCUAUAUAUACAGAACAUCAUCGAAACCGCAAGUACUAGAAAUUUAUUUUCCGACAGAAGAAGAUUUAUCUGUGCGACGGUAAUAACAAAUCUCCGGCGACAAGGAGAAGCAGGAGAUAGAGAGCUAUGACGACAGUCAGUCUCCGCAAGCAAAACACGAGGCUCCCACCAGAAGUAAACCGCGUGCUCUACGUCCGCAACCUCCCCUUCAACAUAACGAGCGAGGAGAUGUACGACAUCUUCGGCAAGUACGGCGCGAUCCGCCAGAUUCGGAUCGGAUGCAACAAGGACACGAAAGGCACGGCCUUCGUCGUCUACGAGGACAUCUACGACGCGAAACAAGCCGUGGACCAUCUCUCCGGGUUCAACGUCGCGAACCGGUACCUGAUCGUGCUCUACUACCAGCACGCGAAGAUGAGCAAGAAGUUCGACCAGAAGAAGAGCGAGGAAGAGGUCGCCAAGCUGCAGGAGAAGUACGGUGUCUCCACCAAAGAUAAGUAAACACGUGUGUACUCGAUUCGAUUCUGCGAUUUAGGGUUUCAAUUGGGGAAAAAAAAAUCGAACCUUUUUUGCUUAAUCUUGGUAUGUAUGUUUGAACCAUUCAAUGAAAAAUUCCUCUUUUCAGCUCCAUGUAGCUAUUAAUGUUACAAAGUGUUGUGCUUUGAUGCAGUUGAUGAUCUGGACUGGUUAGUGUUUUGCUAAGAGGUUUAGUGUUCUGCGAUUUAGGGUUUCAAUUGGGGAAAAAAAUCGAACCUUUUUGCUUAAUCUUGGUAUGUAUGUUGAACCAAUCAAUGAAAAAUACCUUUUUUAGUUCCAAUUAGCUAUUGAUGUUACAAAGUAUUGUGCUUUGAUGCAGUUGAUGAUCUUGUAUUCAGCUUUGUAUCUUUGUUCAGGAGUGGUUAGUGUUUUUGCUAAGAGGUUAAGAACAUGUAUCACUAACACAUACAAUAGAAUUGAAAAAGAAUCUCUUAAGUACAUUAAGAAACCAGAAAAUAUAAAUGUACAAUAAAUCAAACACCUUCCCCCCAAAUCCUCAAUUAAUGAUUUUUUUUUCUCCCUGCUUGAGCCUUCUCAUCUCUUAAACGAUGUCCUCCUGUUUCAAUCAUUAGUAAUCCGAGCAUGCUUUUAAUUUUUGAUUGCCUCAUUGUUAAAAGGAAGAUGAUUUUUCUCUCGACUCAUGUUCUGCUCUCUUUUUGAUAUCUUCUCUCUUCCUCUCUACUUUCAACGUUUGGUGGUGUCAUUUAAACGAAAGGUCACGCCGCUUCUUUGGGAUAGGAUCAGGGUUUCCUUUUCUCAUCAUUGCCACGAACUCGUCGUAGUUUAUCCGACCAUCCUGCAUCAGAGAUUUUGGUUAUGUUAAUAAUGAGGU
rnacentral:lncRNA from 1 species